UCCAGCAUUCUCUCCCUCUCCUUCUUCUUCUUCUUCUUCUUCUCCCUUCUUGUCACCCUCUCCCAUGCCGCCACCUUCGAGAUCGUGAACCGAUGCUCUUACACAGUGUGGGCCGCGGCCGUGCCUGGCGGCGGACGCCAGCUCAACCAGGGGCAGUCGUGGACCAUCAACGUGAACGCGGGAACCACCGGCGGCCGCAUCUGGGGCCGCACCGGCUGCUCCUUCGACGGGAGCGGACGCGGGCGGUGCCAGACGGGCGACUGCGGCGGCGUGCUGUCAUGCACGGCGUACGGCAGCCCGCCCAACACCCUGGCGGAGUUCGCGCUCAACCAGUUCAACAACCUCGACUUCUUCGACAUCUCCCUGGUCGACGGCUUCAACGUGCCAAUGGACUUCAGCCCCACGUCAGGCGGCUGCCGCGGCAUCCGGUGCGCGGCGGACAUCAACGGGCAGUGCCCCGGGGCGCUGAAGGCGCCGGGCGGCUGCAACAACCCCUGCACCGUGUUCAAGACGGACCAGUACUGUUGCAACUCCGGCAGCUGCAGCCCGACCGACUACUCCCGGUUCUUCAAGAGAAACUGCCCCGACGCCUACAGCUAUCCCAAGGACGAUCAGACGAGCACCUUCACCUGCCCCGGCGGCACCAACUACAGGGUUGUCUUCUGCCCUUGAGAUCACUGACGCCACUAAUAAGCCGCCCUCGUGCAGGCAACCACGCAUAUAGAUAUAUAUACUAGUCUCCUACAAUACAAAUAAGAUGUCAAGAGUGAUGGAAGGUAUUAGCCUUCUCUUGGGCUAAUACUGUUGACUGAUGUAAUAGAAGUGGUGCAACCAACUAAUAAGAUGCAUAAUAUCAUCACAGCAUGAGUGCUUUUCCAUUGAUGUUUGAAUCAUUUUGUGAGAGCAAUCAGCUUAUGCAAUCAGCAAAAAGAAUAAUUAAACCAUUUCUAUUUAUGUCUUGUUGGCUUAAAACAUGAAUUGAUUUUGAAACAUAAUGAACCCUACAUAUAUAACUUCAUAAAAGAUAUCUCAAGGACCAUACAUUAUACAUACAUAUAUACAUAUAUAUACAUAUAUAUACACAUAUAUAUAUACAUAUAUAUACACAUAUAUAUACAUAUAUAUAUAUAUACAUAUACAUAUAUAUAUAUAUAUNNNNNNNNNNNNNNNNNNNNUAUGUAUAUAUAUAUAUGUAUAUAUAUAUAUAUCAUUUAGGAUGAUGAGUCAUCGCCUAUCCAAUUUGGACCUCUGCCAUUCUCCGUAGAAACUUUGCGUAGCCAUUUUCCAAUACAAUUGCGCGUUGACCAGAGUGCGUCCAUGUGAUCCUCCCCGGUAAGUUUGGUGCCCGAAAUUAUCCGGCAAGUAUGGCUUUAAAUAUUGGAAUUAGUUGCUCUUUGUUUUACGUAGGCCGAUCAAGAUGAACAGAGAGAAUGAUGCUGACUAAUUGAGCCCUGACCAAUCGAGGGCUUCAGGACUCGAGCCCCGACGCGCCCUCGGGAAGCUGCCGCGGGAGGCGGACAUCGAUGGGCAGUGCCCGCAGGUGUUGAGGGCGCCGCGGCGGGUGCACCGCUCGACCGUGUCCAAGGCGGACCGGUACUGCUGCAGCUCCUGCAACUGUGCGUCAAGCGGCUACUUCAGCUUCUUGAGGAGGAACUGCACCGAUGGCUAUAUCUUCCCACAACCUUACGGCCUGGCUUCCACCACUAGUUUCUACGGUAGUCUUCCUCCUCCAAGAGUCGAAUUCAGCUUCCUACAAGAUUAUAAUGAUGGUUUGUAUCAAUUAGUUGUUAAAUUGUAUUUUGGAACCUAAUACAUAUUUUAAAUAUAAAUUCAUAUUUAAAGUUUCUUUAACAUCACAUUUGUCAUGAAUAUAGUGUCAGUAAAUGCUUAAAUUCUGAAACUAUCUUAGAAUAAUUAUAACAUCUCGAGUAAUCUCACAUAAAAAAUGAAUAAGAUUAAAAUUAACUUAUGAUAGUAUAUUACUAUCAAUAUUAAUUUGAAUAUUUUGAUUGCUUGGAUUCAAGAAAAUUGAUAAGUCAAUUAGUUAAUCAAUUGUGACAUUCGAUAUCAAAUUAGUAUUAGGAUAUAGUAUAAUCAAAUUACUAUUAGCGUAUCGUGAGUGAGCUUCGUACUCGUUCAUUGUGAAGUCAUCUUGGGCUAUGUCUUACAUGCCGCGCUAUAUUGAGUCUUUGACAAUGAUUAAUUUUUUUUUUAUAGUUCACACAUAAAAAUAGAUUUUGAACUAUUUAAUUUUAAAAAUCAUAUUAUUUAUUAUAAAAUAUAUUUAUUAAAAUUUAAUUAACUAAUAAAAUUAUUAACUUAUUCACAUAAUUAAGAAAAUCAAUUUUAAUCAUUUUCUUAGCCAUACUAUACAAACAAAAUCACAAUGUAUAUAUUUUUCUUAAAUUUUUAUCUUAAAUGCAUGUUGCUAAUUAUAAUACUUGAUUUAUAUUUAGAUUUAUAUGAUAGUUGAUUAAAAAUAUUAUUUCUUCUCUUAUGUAAUUUUAUCUUUUUAAUAAUCUAUUGUUUAUUAUAUUUUAAUGACUCAAUGCUUGGGAUUAGAUGUUUUUUACUAUAAUUUCAUAAUGCUAUAAUUUAGAAUUGAAGAAAUUGAUUAGGAUUUGGGUUAUAUCUCACACGUACAAUCUUAGAGUUUGAGUUGGGUUUUAAUAAGGAUCAUUUAUUUUUUAUAUAAUAUUUAUUUCCUAUGAUUCACACAUAAAAAUAAAAUUUAAAUUAUUUACUUUCUAAAAAUUGCAUCACUCGUUGAGAAACGAAUCAAUUAAUAAUUUAAUUAAUUUAGUAAUCAUAUUACAUAAAUAAAAUCAUAAUGUGUAGUAUUUUAAAAUUUUUUAUCUUACAUGCAUGAUGCACGAUGAUAAUUAUAAUCCUUGGUUUCUAUUAUAUUUAUAUAGUAAUUUAUUAAAAAUAUUAUUUUCUCACUAAUGUAAUUUUAUUUUAAAAUUUAUUACUAUUUAUUAUGUUUUUAAUGACUCAAUACUAAUGAUCAGAUAUUCUAAUUAGUAGUCAUAUUAGUAAUCAUUAAGAAAUUUAAUUUAAAUUAUUUCAGUAAUAAUAUUACAUAAAUAAAAUCAUAAUGUGUAGUAUUUUUAAAAUUGUUAUCUUACAUGCAUGAUGCAUGAUGAUAAUUAUAAUACUUGGUUUCUAUUAGAUUUAUAUAAUAAUUUAUUAAAAUAUUAUUUUCUCACUUAUGUAAUUUUAGUUUUAAAAUUUAUUACUAUUUAUUAUGUUUUUAGUGACUCAAUACUAAUGAUCAGAUAUUCUAAUUAUAUUUUUUAUAUUUUAAAAUUAAGAGAAUUGAUUAAGAUUUAAGUUGAAAUCAACAAACAAUUAGAGCUAACCCAUAGGCUAGCCACAACUCGUAGAUUAAGCUCAGCAAGCAAGUCAACCCAUAGCCUAUAGGACUCCAAUAUGAUCAGUUAUGUAAUGUACAGACCAAGUCAGAUUUCAUAAACUUAGAUAGAUUCAAGGUAAUUCUAAACUUAUUUAGUCUAUUCAUGUCUAUCUAAUCUAAAUCGAACUCAAUCUAGUCCAAAGUAUACAAGUCUAAGAUGAUUCUAGACUGAUUAAAUGAGAAUUAAAAAUCGAUUUUAUUAUACUAGAGUUAAAUCGAGUUCAAUUGAUUUUAAUUAAACUCGUUUAGAUCGAUUAAGUUCUAGUUAAAUCAGGUUCAAUUAGACCGAUUGAGUUAAGUUAGAUAAAACCUAGGGAUAUGAGUUAUAAAUAAUAUUCAUCAAAUUUCUUCAAUCUAAUUUAUGCUAAAAUAGUUCAAUAAUAAAAAAUAAUAACUGCAAUAAUUAUUGAAUGUUAAUCAGUAUAAUGAAAAAUUCAUAUAAUAACUAUAAUUAUGAUAAGUCAUGAAUUAUAUUUUUAUAUAAUUUUCAAACAUAUUAUAUAAAUAAUCAAAUAAAUAUCCAAGAAAAAUAAUUAGAUUUUUAUUUAUCACAUGCAAAAUUUUAUCAAUAUGACAAAUAAGAAAAUUAUUAAAGAAAAAUCAUAAUUUAUAUUUUUAAAAUUUUGUAUGAACCCUUAUACCAAUCAACCCUAUUUAAUUAGGUAAGCCCAUAAUUGGACUACCUAAAUUGGGCUAACAAUUUGCCUAAUUAGACCCAUUAAGAUUAAAGUUGAUCAAAAUAAAAAAAAGAUCAAAAAUAACUUUUUUUUAAUUUGAUCAAAAACUUAAUUGGUCGAAUUUAAAUCCAACCAAAUAGUUAAAAUAUAGUAAUGAUUAAGCUCGUUUAAAAGAUUUGAUUAAAAUAAAUCAAAUUAAUAAAUUUUAUAAUUGAGGGCAUAUCUCAAAAUAUUUUAAUUCAAAAGGGUAAAACUAUAAUUUUACUGGGAUAUGUAGAGAAAAUAUCUAAUUUCUGAAGAAUAUAAUUAUCAAAAGGACACAAGUUGAAAUUAAAAGACUUUAUAAGAAUAAAUUUAUAAUUUUAAAAAUAAAUCCUAAUCUUUCACCCAGAAAGGCUCUCUCGCAUUUGUCAUUGGUUCCACCAUGCCCACACGCAAAAGUCAACACCGCAGUGUUCGCCCACCACCUGCAUGGACAACGAGGCAGUUGUCCUUAUGCAUUCAAACGAUAACCUCAUCGGUCGUCGCGUUGUGCCAUGCUCAUGAGUGGCUAUUAUCAUCGUGCGCUUGACUAUAACACUUCAAAAACAAUAUGUAUGUCACUGACCGGAAGCUAUCGCGUAGUUACGCACACAUGCCGAUCGAUAACCCCCAGAAUCACUUUGAUGUGUGACUGUGCUCGCUUGUCUUGCUACAUAGUCGUUGGGAACAAUGGCUUUCAGUGUCCAAUCGAUGUUGACCAUGGCCAACAAGCACUACCACAGUGGUAUUACUGUAACCAUUGUACGUAGUGAAGCUAUAUAGCCACUAUAGGUGCAUGCGCACAUAGUGGCACUGUUACAAUCAUCGCACUUAGUAUUAUACCCCAUGGUGCUUCCAUUAGGUACGCAAUUGCUACUCGCGAUUGAACUAAUGACAAUCAAAAGUUGUCGCUCUUAACCAUAUUGUUAUCGACAAUAAGCUAGUCACAGUGAUCCAUUGAUCAAGUACGAGAAAAUUCAUAUCUCCCACAAAUAGGUGAUAAGAUCGAUUAAAUAGAAAAAUAGAUCAAUAAUAUAUAUGAAUCAUUCAUACAUCGUAAAUAAAAAAUUGAAUAACACUUUUUCAUAAGCCAAAGAUGCUAACAAAUAUAUCUAAAAUAAUUUAUUUUACAAACAUGACUCUGAUAUCAAUUGUAAGUAUAAAAACCAUCCUUAUGCUAUUGUUAUGCAGAAAACUUUAACACCAAAAUCUAAAAUCAAAUAAUAAUAGAUAAGAUUCAUGAUACGUACAUUUUGAUGCUAGUUAAAAAAGCUCUUAUAUGAUCUAUAGGUACACCAUCGUUGGAUCUGAAAGUUAUAGUAAUAUCGAUCUAUAAGAAGAAUUAGACUCAUCGUUUUCUCAUUUUCUAUCCUUUAUAGGACCACUACAAUGGAUUUAGAGACUAAGGGGAGAUGAGAGAAGAUUUAUAAUUUCUCACUGACUUAUUCACAAAAAUUUAUAAUUUUUUAAUAAUAUUUUGUAAACACGUAUCGUUUUUAUCUUCUUAUAGUAUUUCUAGGUGAGAAUAGAAAAUCUAUGAUAAGUAAUGAAUAGGGUCUUUCUAAUCAAAAUCUAUCUCUUAACGAAUUUUAUGAUAAUUUAAUUUUUUAUCAAUCUAUAAUCAUAAUUAAAAUUUAAUCAUAUCUAUAAUAUAUCUUAAAUAAAUAAUUAGUGAUAUAUAAUCUGACACCUCUCUCUUCUCUCCCUUAUAAAUUCCCCACCUCUCCACCCCUCGGAUCUGCACAACACAGAGCACGAAGCCUAAGACUCGCCGUUAGAUGGCUUCGUCAAGCAUUCUCUCCCUCUCCUUCUUCUCCCUUCUUGUCACCCUCUCCCAUGCCGCCAACUUCGAGAUCGUGAACCGAUGCUCUUACACAGUGUGGGCCGCGGCCGUGCCCGGCGGCGGACGCCAGCUCAACCAGGGGCAGUCGUGGACCAUCAACGUGAAAGCGGGAACGACCGGCGGCCGCAUCUGGGGCCGCACAGGCUGCUCCUUCGACGGGAGCGGCCACGGGCGGUGCCAGACGGGCGACUGCGGCGGGUUGCUGGCGUGCACGGCGUACGGUAGCCCGCCCAACACCCUGGCGGAGUUCGCGCUCAACCAGUACAGCAACCAAGACUACGUGGACAUCUCCCUGGUCGACGGCUUCAACGUGCCUAUGGACUUCAGCCCCACGUCGGGCGGCUGCCGCGGCAUGCGGUGCACGGCGGACAUCAACAAGAAGUGCCCCACGGCACUGAAGGCGCCGGGCGGCUGCAACAACCCCUGCACCGUGUUCAAGACGGACCAGUACUGCUGCAACUCCGGCAGCUGCCAGCCGACCGAGUACUCCAAGUUCUUCAAGAGCAACUGCCCCGACGCCUACAGCUAUCCGAAGGACGAUCCGACGAGCCUCGUCGCCUGCCCCGGCGGCACCAACUACAGGGUUGUCUUCUGCCCUUGAGAUCACCGACGCCACUAAUAAGCCUCCCUCGUGUAGGCAACCACGCAGAUAUAUAUAUAUAUAUAUAUNNNNNNNNNNNNNNNNNNNNCCCGACGCCUACAGCUAUACCGAAGGACGAUCCGACGAGCCUCGUCGCCUGCCCCGGCGGCACCAACUACAGGGUUGUCUUCUGCCCUUGAGAUCACCGACGCCACUAAUAAGCCUCCCUCGUGUAGGCAACCACGCAGAUAUAUAUAUAUAUAUAUAUAGCAGUCUCCUACAAC
rnacentral:lncRNA from 1 species